GACCCGGAGGCGGGGCCGUCACGUGGGGCAGCGUGGGCCGCUGCCUUGGAAACGCAGAGCGCGCGCUCCAGGGUCUUUUUGGAGUUCCUGAGCUCAGUGCCCCAGAAGGCACAUACUUCAUAUGAAAUAUGAAGGAUUUCAUACUGCACAAGAAAAAGCCUUGAGAAAGACAGAAUUGCUUGUGGACCGUGCGUGUUCCACCCCACCUGGGCCCCAGACCGUGCUGAUCCUUGAUGAGCUCUCGGAUUCCUUGUGCAGAGUGACCGACUUGACACCCAGAGGGUUUGAAAGCAAGAGCCAAGCUGCAUCCAGCACUGAAGGACCACUCUACUUAUUCCUCCCUGAUGUCUUCAGGGAGAGUCUGGCUGUUUCGAAAUGACCAGGCUGGCAGUUGGCUGAGCCAGUCUCUUAGAACCCUUUGAAGCACUGGAUGCAGGCUGAUGAGCUGCCAUAAACGUCUUUGAGUCCCAACACUGCUCAGGAACUGCAUAUCAUACCAAAGUCUGCCUGUGUGAUCCUUUAAUUUGUGAAUGUAAAAACUGAGGUGGGAGGCAAAUACUGAUGUUCUCAAAGACCCGUCUCAGCUAUUCCAUUCAAACAGAGCCCAGAAUCUUCAAAAUUCUGCUUCUUCAGCUUACCUCCUGUCUCAGGCUGGUUCCCCAGAAGCAUCCCAGAGAUGCAGAUUUGUGAGAAAGUGAUGUGUUGGGCAGUGUCCCCUGCAGGGAAGUGAGGAUGCAAGACAGUGAGAAGGAAGCCAAGCAAGAGUGCAAUGUCAAGCAAGGUCCCGUGCUUGCAGGGCACUGGCUCCUCCCACAGAGGAGAUUUGGAGACUGAGAGCCCCUCCCUCCAUUGGUCAAGGGCCAUCUCAGAGGGAUGCAUGUUUCUAGGUAUCCCCCACUCUCUCUGCACACAGGUAAAGGAGACUCCAGAAGCAUGAGGGCAGCCCUCUCACAAAGAAGCAUGGGUUCUGGAUACCGAGAGUAAAAGCAAACGUGGAGCCAAGGGGUGUGAAAAUGGGAAAGGGACCCAAGGAAAUAGAGUAGUGCAUCCACCAUGAGUAAGUGCCACAGUCACUGGGUCAGCACCUGCUGUGUCCAACACCAUGCUAAGUAUCGUGGAGAGGAGAGAAGUUACUAGACUUCCCUGCUGUCAUCCUUAAUGGACUAUUGUCUCUUCCCUAGACACCUCAAACUGGGAUUUAAGGUACAUAAGCUCUCAGAAAUGGCUUCCUGGAAUUAUGGCCAUGAACAUCAGUGAACUGUUAGGGUCCGUAGUUACAUCUGGAAAAUGACUGCCGUUUCAAUACACAGGAUUAGUUACAAUAACAGCAACAGCCAUAAUAAUAAUGUGGCAGAGACUAGCUUGAUGCUCAUCACAUCUCUACCUGGGCACAUAGCAAAGUUUUCUAUUCCAGCUCCCACCCUGGAUCUCGGGUCCUAGUUCUCAACAACGAAAUGCUUCCAAGCCAAGUUAAAGCAGCCACAACUUUCAAACGAAAACCUAAAGAUCCUGUGUUGAAGACAGUGGCACCUUAAAAUGCAAGGGCAGUAUCCUUGAGUCCUCAGGUCACCAGAAAGCCACCCGAUCAGGACCAUCGACACUAGACUCUGUGUUAGUGAGAAACAAACUUGUGUUAAGCCAUCAUGAUUUUAAAGUUGUUAGCAGUCAGCUUGCUCCAAUAGGAUGAACACUAAUAAACAUAGCGGUAACAACCUGCUGGGUAGUAUCAUUAUUCUCACUUUGUUGGUGAGGAACUUGAGGCCCAAAAUGGUCAGAAAGUUAGCAGAUGGCAGAGCUGGUAUUUCAAGUCUAUUUUUUAAUCCCUAUCUUGCACUCCUUGGUCACGUAAACCUUGUGUGAAUAUGUUUGAUGCUUUAAUGGAGCAAAGAGGAGAAUAUUAAAAUACCAGGUUUCUUGGGUGGGAUGUGGAGUGAGGAGGAAGAACACAAAACGGAAAGGCUCCACGCAUCAGAAGCCAAGCUUUGGGCACUCCACAGUUUUGCUAAAGACUUCCCUGUCUGCUCACAUCUGGUCUGUUCCCCA
rnacentral:lncRNA from 1 species